rnacentral:lncRNA from 1 species
GGGCUUACUGGGACCGUCCAGAGUGCUUUGAUCUGUCCAGCAGGAGUAUGGCCUUCACCUUCAGAAAAGCCAAUCAAGAGAAAUCCAAACUUAGGAAACCAAAAUGAGGACAAAGGGAUUCACAUUACAUACAAAUGGAUUCGUUGCAAAAGGCUUUUGAUGACGCUCAUCUGCUGUGUAAAAAGAGGCGCCCUUGGAUGAAGCGUGUAAGUAGGCACGGUCGGUGCAUCUCAGUACUGGUGUCCUGGGGCUUUGCAAAGGCUGGAUGGCAAAUGCGUGUCUUGGCUAUUAUGUCUCUGUGGGAAACAUGGAUGAAAGCAAUUCCGUCUCCUCCCUGUGUCCUCGAUCUUGUUCCCACCGGCACUACUCAAAGAACCAGCAGCCCCUCGGAACACCUACUGGAGCCCACCUUCACCAGCCCACCCACUGCCGUGACACGUACCAACAGGGGCAAGCCCGUUCUAGGCUCGGCCGGCGCGGCGCCAUGACGGGUGUGCGUGAGCGUCGGAAGACUGACCCUGGGCGCGGGCGAGAAGCGGCUUUGCAACCUGCUAGCUGUGGGACCUUGGAGAAGGUACCCAAACCCGAGCUGGGUCUUCCUCACCUGGGAAACGGCAAUAGCAUACUCUACCCUAUGGGGCAGUCGUGA